AUUGAACGCUGGCGGCAUGCCUUACACAUGCAAGUCGAACGGUAGAGGGGCAACCCUCGAGAGUGGCGAACGGGUGAGUAAUGCAUCGGAACGUGCCCAGUCGUGGGGGAUAACGUAGCGAAAGCUACGCUAAUACCGCAUACGACCCGAGGGUGAAAGCGGGGGACUCGCAAGGGCCUCGCGCGAUUGGAGCGGCCGAUGUCAGAUUAGGUAGUUGGUGGGGUAAAGGCCUACCAAGCCGACGAUCUGUAGCUGGUCUGAGAGGACGACCAGCCACACUGGGACUGAGACACGGCCAGACUCCUACGGGAGGCAGCAGUGGGGAAUUUUGGACAAUGGGCGCGGGCCUGAUCCAGCCAUGCCGCGUGCGGGAAGAAGGCCUUCGGGUUGUAAACCGCUUUUGUCAGGGAAGAAAUCUUCUGGGUUAAUACCUCGGGAGGAUGACGGUACCUGGAGAAUAAGCACCGGCUAACUACGUGCCAGCCGCCGCCGUAA
rnacentral:rRNA from 1 species